rnacentral:rRNA from 1 species
GUGCCAGCCGCCGCGGUAAUACGGAGGGUGCAAGCGUUAAUCGGAAUUACUGGGCGUAAAGCGCACGCAGGCGGCUUUUUAAGUCGGAUGUGAAAGCCCCGGGCUCAACCUGGGAAUUGCAUUCGAUACUGGGGAGCUAGAGUAUGUGAGAGGGGGGUAGAAUUCCAAGUGUAGCGGUGAAAUGCGUAGAGAUUUGGAGGAAUACCAGUGGCGAAGGCGGCCCCCUGGCACAAUACUGACGCUCAGGUGCGAAAGCGUGGGGAGCAAACAGGAUUAGAUACCCGGGUAGUCC